rnacentral:snoRNA from 1 species
AUAAAUCUCAGGGGCUUUUUUGCAAAACAGUCACGACGUACCACAGAAGCGAUCAGCGCUUUAUUAUUAGGGAGAGAUUAGGGGAGAUAUCUGAUAUGUGGGCCAUGUGCCCACAACAAUAUUAAAUUUAUUUUUUAUGGGGGAGGGCCCGCCACAGUGGCUUGCUGCUGGGGCCCUCGGGUGUCGCCCAGUGCGUUGCACUAUUGCCUGGACAGGCGCACCCCAA